GGACGCCUAACAUGAUGCAGCAGAAUUUCUUCUAGGAAUCUAAAGGGACCAUAUGGAGCAAGUUAUAUUCAAGAAAAACAGGACUGUGGGGCUUAGAGUACCAGAGAGGAGGCAACAACUGCAAGUACAAAAAGUCCCAUUUGGCAAAAGAAAUCUGAAGAGCACAGUGUCCUGCACCAGGCUCCAUUACAGCCUGGAGUAAGGCGAAGUUGUUGGGGAAAUCAGACAGCAGGGAGAAUGGGGCCACUGCAGCCCCUCUGACCUUCUUUCCCUGGACUUUCUCAACAUACUUUCCUGCUCUGCUGUCAUUGCAGCUGCAGGUCCUCACUCCAGGGUGGCAGCCAGGGGCUGAGGUGGAGCUGGGCCCCACACCUCUGCACAUUCCCAACCUGAAAACCACUCCAGGCUCCCAGCCUUGCCUAUCGGUUCCCUGAGGGUCUUGGACGCUGCCCCAGCACAGGGAUGUCCCUUCUGCCCAGGAACCUCACCAGAGGCAAGCUCCAAGGAUGUAGUUUGGCACCUUCUUACAAUUAAUUGGUUUUGGACAACUUGGUAAUUUAGAAAUUGCUGAGGUGAACCUCCAACAGAGGAAGUCUGGCAUGGUUCUGUGCCUGACUGUGCCCCGAUUAUGCCUCAAAAUGCCUCUUAAGCCCCUGAUGAUGGGUGUUAGUUUCCUUACAAAGGUGAACAUGCUUCUCAGAAGAUGCUCCUGCCACCUUCUGCAUCAAUAAGCGAAGUUUGGAGGACAAAGUACAGGUUACUUUUGGAACAAUAGGAUCCUCUCUCCCUCUGUCCUUUUGACAGAUUUUCAGAAGUAGAAGGGAAAGACCUAAGACACUAUCCAAACCCAUGGGAUCUAUCACCACCUAUAGGGUGUGACAUGUCACACUAGCUGAGCCACCUGGCCUUAGCUGCAUGUCUGCCAAACAGCCACUUGAAAGCUACCUGUUAGAAAGCAAUGUGCUUGAUAUUAGAUACUGCCUGUUAAAUGUGUUACAUGAAUUCUAAAAAAGAUAAAUAAAUAAAUCUUAUUUUUGGUAAAUAU
rnacentral:lncRNA from 1 species